rnacentral:lncRNA from 1 species
GGCCGACUCAAAUUCAAAGCAUUUUGUAUAUAUAACUGUUUUCUUUUUUUGCUUUUCUGCUGCAUGUCUUUUUCGUGGGGGGUGAUCCUCUGCAGAUCCCCCCAUUUGCGGACCCGCCAUGUGGAGGAGGCAUUUGGGGGGCUCAGAAGGAAAUUAGCUCGGCUUCCAUACCUAUAAGGACUGCCUAACUUUUAAACUCCCGGCACUCAAAGAUGUGGACACACACACGUACAGGAAAUACAGCCAGACCAGAGCCUUUGCAGUCCGCAGCUGACCGGAAGACGUUGCCUUUCAUUCAUUCAUUCUGCCCGCCUCUGUGGACUCCUUUACUAGGCGACCAGCCCUGAAACAGAAGUUGGACAUUUUUUAAAGGUUCUUGCGCUCGGCAAGGGGAGCAGAUAGAUGCUCAGGAGCGAAAGACGCAGAGAAUUGGAUCUGGCGCCUCCUAACGCAGCCCGCACAGGAGCGAAGGAGAGUGUGACGAUCCCCCUGAUGCGGCUGAGAUGUUCUGAAAUGAAGACGUUGGCUCUCAUCCCCAGCCUGA